UUUCUCUGUGUGCUGGCCAUCUGCCUGUUUAUUCUCAGGUCCCAUUUCUGCCUGUCUCUGCCUGGGACACCAAAAUCUGCAUUUCCCAUAUUCUCUUGCAUGGUGGCUUUUGCUUAGGCUUUGUUGACAGGGAGAUCUGGGAAGGCAAAAGGAAGGGAUUUCCUGUUUUCAGGUCCCAUAUUUCUUCACAGUGUCCUUCCAGCAGCAGAGGACAGCUAGACCUCCAGCAUCAUUUGGCAGUUUCCCCCUCUUUGUUGAUCUCAGGCCUCUUCCUUGAUCCCAGGCCCAGAGCUUACCAGCCACUCCCAAUCUCAGCAUCAGCCAAGUGGCACCCCAUCGGACCUCAGCUUCAGUCAUACAGAGUCCACUCAGCAUUCUCAUCACCAGCCACCAGUACUCCUCAGACGUCAUGGCUCAUGGCCCAGCACCCUGGAGGUCACAGCACAAGCCGUGCAGUGCCUGUUCUCUGACUCCAACAUCAGCCUUCAUAGUCCCUUCUCGCUGAUUCCAGCAUGGGCUGGAACGACCACAUGAAUAAGUUCUGAACAAUAGGAUGUGACAAGAAGCACUGUUGUGGAUCACUUCUCAAAAUGAAUUUACUUGUUCUGUGUGUCUUCUUCCCCUCUCUUGAGGAUUGGCAUGGGAGUAUGAUGGGGAAGAGUCAUCUUUGCUCAUAAAGACAAUGGGGGAUGAUGAAGCAAUAGAAAGAAGAAACUGGGUUCCUGGUGACUUUGUUGAGCACAGCCACCCUUCCCAUCCAGACAGCCCAACAGCUCCACUCCUCCUUCCAGUUAAGCCACUGCUGUUUGAUCUCCAUUAUUACAACUAAACCAGUAUCUUCACUAAUCAUAUCCUGAGGAUGCAACCCUUGCAUAAAAAUAUCCACUCACCAACUGUUCACCAACUGUUCUUCCUCUUGCUGGCAUACCUUAUGCAGCAUCCUCAGAUGCCAGAGCGCGUUUCUGCUGCAGCCUCCACGAUGCCUGGGCUGAUAGCAAUCAGGUCCUGCUAUGCUUCUUUCAGGAAGAGCUGACCCCUGGAAUCUGGGCUAGACUUGCACUUGUUUUGGCCAUUGGAAUAUCAAGCUGACUUUUUGUGGGCUCUGGAGACUAGGACCUAAAAGGAGGAAUGUUGCCCCCUCAUCAUUAUGUAAAGAAGCUGGCGCAACCUGCUGGAGGAGAAUAUGCCACCUGGGGAAGAACUGAGGCACCCAGCCAACAUCCAGCACCCACCACUAGACAUGAAAACACUGGUCGGUUACUAAUGGAGAAGAAGAAAAAGCAGCAAAGACAACGAGUAUACUUGGGAUGCGAUCGCAUGCCUGGAGCAUCUGGUGGGCAGGAUUCACUCGUCCUUUCCUUUUUGAGAUUGCAAUUAAGUAGAUAAUAUGAGAGAGAACUGACAAUUGGGUUGUCCCUACUGAGCUUGGGGCCAGGUGUGUACUUAGGAACCCAAUCCCACCCAGAAGAGACUCAUCUAUGUUAACACUAAGGAUGCCCUGGAGGAGGUCCUGACCACAUACAUGCGGCCAUUGGUUGAUUUCAGCUUUGCAAGCAGCGUAGUGAGAAAACCAAAAGCUUGUCCUAUCCAGACUGAGCUUGCCAGGGAAGCAGAGGCCUGAGGUUACUUAACGAGAGGCAGGCUGCCAGAGUGGAGACACAGGGCAUGUACAAUCAUACAAACCUGCAUACCAAUUCUGCCCCCCCACUCACUCUGUGGCUGUGUCACCCUGGCAAGUGACUUAACCUCUCUGAUCUUCUUUUCCUCACCUAUAAAAUGGGGAAAAUGAAAUGUAUCUCAGAUUGGGGAUUCGAAGGUUUCAAAUGACCAUUUAGGUAAACUUCCUGGAACAUAGUAUGUGUUCAGGAACCUUGAGUUCCCUCCCCUUGGGAGAAGACCCCUCACACUGAGCUGGGGAGCAGGAUCCUGGUCACUGAGACUUCUUUUCUGCACAAACUUCAUCUUGGCCUCUAAUGAGAUGGAAUCCCCCAGGGCCUGUUGCCUCCUGUUAUUGCAAUUUAAGCACAGCCAGUGCUGACUGGGCUGUUAGACUCCAAAGGUUCCCUGGUAGAAAAUUUGAGGGGUGUGGGAUGGCAAGGGAUUGAGAGAGAGGGGUGGGGACUUCAGAUAGCCAGUAUUCCUUAGCCUUCCAAUUCCUUAACAGCCAAAUUACCCUAGAGCCUCUUUAUGAAGCUAAAGAAAUACAAAUACUAUUUUCAAAUCAGCAGGCAUUCCCAAUGUUGGCUUUUGCUGAGGGUAGCUAAGAGGCAAAGCAUACCUAGAUCCUAGGCCAGACCUCAACAGCCUUAGUUCUGGCUCCUUCUGUUUCCAUAUUUCUCAAGAACCUGGUUUUCUCUGCUGGAAGAAGCAUUUUCAGAGGUCAUCUGAAGUCUACAGCCCUCCCCUCUGCGAGGAGAGCACAGACUUGAAGUCAAGUGGGCCUGGGCUCCAAAUCUUAGUUCUGCCACUUACUAGCUAUGUGGCCUUGGACAAGUUACUUAACUCCCCCAUGCCUCAGUUUCUCUGGAUACCAAAUGGGGAUAAUGAUGCUAAUACCUCAUAGAGUAGGCAUGAGGGUUAUAUGAGUAAAGUGCUGAGAAAGGAGCCUGAUAGGUAAUUACCUGAUCCCCCUCCUCUCGCUAGAGCCCCCACACCCUGGUGAUACUCACCACUAUGCCUUCACUUUAUAAUCAACAGAAACACUUCAACACCCAUCCCAGAAAACACAUGAAAUACUCACAUUACACAAAGAUCAAAUGAGUGGGGAUGAUUAAACCUAUUUUCCUUUUGAUUCAAACAAGUGGAGUGCUCUGUCCUUGGCCACACAGUUUAAAGAAUGAAGCCAGGACUACAUGCCAAACAGCAUGACUCCUAGGGUAAAGUUCUUCCCACCCCAUGAAGAUGCCCUCACCCCUCAAUUUCUCCUGACUGUUUCUUUAAAUAGAAAGGUUUUGAUGGAAACACUAGUGACGUAUAUGAAUUUUGAAGCAGAUAUCCAUUUUUAAUAUAGGAAGGAAGACAUUAAGAUGUCAAACUUGGGGCUGCUAAAUGAACAUCUGUAGCCCAAACAUGGGGCACCAGGGCUGGGAGGCUCAGAGAAGUAAUUGCCACAAAAAAGAUGCACCAGGACAUUGAUUUCUUCUGCCUGUUUGCUUGAUUUCCACUUUGAGCUUACUCAAUUGGCUAUUCCUCUGUUUUGCCACCUCAAGAACAUGACCCCAGCUCAUUUGAAUGAAAAUAUGUUUGCCAUUACCUCAUUAAUUUCUGAGACUUUGCAUUAUUUUUUACACCCACCUCCUUUCUUUUCUUCUCCCUCAAAAUUCAGAGUAUUGGUUGGAAAGAGGUAAAUCAGGCACCAUUUCUCCAUGAUGUGUCAGGACCUGAAUCUGUCAUUUGCGAGCCUGACCUCAUAACUCAGCCAAGCCAAGCUGCAAGGCACCCUGGGAACCCAUCACUGAAAGACUGCAGAGGGAGGAAGGCAAGGGCAGGAAUAGCCAGCUGGUCAAGCAGCAGAGUGUCUCCUCAGCUCCCAGGAAAUGGUGUCUAAGGGUGAUGAUGAACUGGGACUUCAUCUGAGUCCAAAAUAAUGAUGCUGCUGAUGCAACAGCAGAACUUAUUAAACACUUACUACUGCAUAUGCCACUAUGAGGUAGACUUACAGAGAAUAAGUUACUCUCCCAUAAUCACACAGCCAGUAAAUGACAGAAAUGGGAUCCAAUCCAAAUAUGUUUCAUUCUAAAGCCCAUGCUCUUCACCAACAAAGCCCAACUUGAUUUAAUUUAUCCCCAAACAUACCAACAUCCAUUUGUUAGUUCCCUUCCCAAUUUAACUUUAAGCGUCUCACAUACAUACACUGUUUUUAUCCUAACAACAAGUUGGUGAGGAACUGAGCUCAGAGAGGUUAAUCCACCCACUGAAAGGCACCCAGUGUUUAAGAGCAGAGGGAGGGGCCUGACACAGGUCUUUCGGAGCAUGACAUGCAUGUUCUGUCCACAAGGCCUGUUGCUGCCUUUCCCCCAGAGGUCCAGACUGAGGACGGGACAGAGUAGAUAAAGACAGCAGUGUGAGAGGAGGCAGUGGGCAAUAUGGGGAAUCUAGGGGCAGCAGUAUGCUGGUCCCAUAUAAUCAGGCCCGGGGGAGGGGCCCAGACAGAGGGUGGCAGACUCUCUGUACUCCAGCAAGACAAUCCCAGAAGAAAUGCCAGAGAGAUCAAUGAGAAGGCCAGUCAUUUACACUGGGCACACACACAGUGUUUAGGGUACUCAGAUAGGUACCCAGGCCUCACCCCAGGCUGUUUGGACACCAGGAGUCAUAGCACUCUUCCAGGCCACAACUGCUACUUGGGGUGGGAGGAGAGGAUGAGACGUGGCAUUUGUGGAAUAAUGACUGUGGCCAAGCAGUGGGCUCUGUAUGAUGCCAUCGUCAAUUCUCACAGCAAUUCUACAACAUAGGUUUUGUUACUUCUCUCUCACGCUUUACCCUAAAUUUCUCCUGCCUACCACAGUGCUUGGCACACACAAACAGAAUAAUAAUGUGUGGAACUGACUAAUUCAUUUUCCAUUCUGCUGGUCAGGGAGAAAUUAAUAGAGGCAGAGGCUAUUAAUAAAACAUUACAUUACCUCCAA
rnacentral:lncRNA from 10 species